rnacentral:sRNA from 1 species
UUGCCACUCUCUCUAUUCCAACUCCAAAAUCUAACCAUUUGUUUCCCGAAUUGAAGCUACCUAGACCUUCAGGACUCCAAGAGCUACGUUUCUACCGAUUGAUUUUCCGUUUUCUCCAACCGGUGAUUCUAACACUUUGGGAGUGCAAGCAAGUGGUUUAGGGUUCCUACUUGAGCUUGGUUGUCUACACUAGAGGUAAGGGGAGCUAGUUCUACUCUUGAUUUUACUGUGUGGAGUGAAUGCAUGAUAAAAUUUGUAGUGGUAUGUUGUGGAAGCAUGAACUUGGUUCUAGUUAAACUUGAAAUGCAUGUAUGGAAGUGUGUGUUAUGUGAAUUUGGUG